rnacentral:sRNA from 23 species
UGACCACCCGCUCGGGUUAAGGCCAUACGGACAGCCGGGUCAACUGCCGA